CCAAUAGCGUAUAUUAAAGUUGUUGCAGUUAAAAAGCUCGUAGUUGAACUUCGGGGUUUACCCAUUGGUCAGGCUUAAUUGUCUGCACUGGUGAGAUGAAUCUCUACCUUCUGAGGAACUUUCAUGCCAUUUAUUUGGUGUGGUGGGAAAUCAGGACUGUUACUUUGAAAAAAUUAGAGUGUUAAAAGCAGGCUAAGGUCUGAAUACAUUAGCAUGGAAUAAUGAAAUAGGACGGACUGAUUCGAUUUCGUUGGUUUCUAGGAGCACCGUAAUGAUUAAUAGGGAUAGUUGGGGGCAUUAGUAUUCAAUUGUCAGAGGUGAAAUUCUUGGAUUUAUUGAAGACUAACUACUGCGAAAGCAUUUGCCAAGGAUGUUUUCAUUAAUCAAGAACGAAAGUUAGGGGAUCGAAGACGAUCAGAUACCGUCGUAGUCUUAACCAUAAACUAUGCCGACUAGGGAUCGGAUGAUGUUGAUUUUUUAAUGACUCAUUCGGCGCCUUACG
rnacentral:rRNA from 1 species